rnacentral:rRNA from 1 species
UACGUAGGGGGCUAGCGUUGUCCGGAUUUAUUGGGCGUAAAGAGCGUGUAGGCGGCCAGGUAGGUCCGGUGUGAAAACUCGAGGCUUAACCUCGAGAUGUCAUCGGAAACCAUCUGGCUAGAGUCCGGAAGAGGGAAGUGGAAUUCCUGGUGUAGCGGUGAAAUGCGCAGAUAUCAGGAAGAACACCAAUGGCGAAAGCAGCUUUCUGGGACGGUACUGACGCUGAGACGCGAAAGCGUGGGGAGCGAACAGG